UACGUAGGGGGCAAGCGUUGUCCGGAUUUACUGGGCGGAAAGAGCGUGUAGGCGGCCAUACAGGUCAGCUGUGAAAACUCGAGGCUCAACCUCGAGACGUCGGUUGAAACCGUAUGGCUAGAGUCCGGAAGAGGAGAGUGGAAUUCCCGGUGUAGCGGUGAAAUGCGCAGAUAUCGGGAAGAACACCCGUGGCGAAGGCGGCUCUCUGGGACGGUACUGACGCUGAGACGCGAAAGCGUGGGGAGCGAACAGG
rnacentral:rRNA from 1 species